GACGAGGCGGGCAAGCGUUAAUCAAUCUUAAUAGGUCUAAAGGGUUAGUAGGCUGUUUAAUUAACUAUAUCUACAAGUAUAGUAUUAUUAAACUAGAGUUUUAUAUAAGGUAUUAGUAUUUAUUAUGUAAAGGUCGAAUUUAGAUAUAAUAAAGACUUUCUUAUGUUAAAUCAUCUAUCUAUAUAAUAACUGACGCUGAGGAACUAAAGCUAGGGUCGCCAAGCGGAUU
rnacentral:rRNA from 1 species